UAGGGAAUCUUCCGCAAUGGGCGAAAGCUUGACGGAGCAACGCCGCGUGAGUGAUGAAGGUCUUCGGAUCGUAAAACUCUGUUAUUAGGGAAGAACAAAUGUGUAAGUAACUAUGCACGUCUUGACGGUACCUAAUCAGAAAGCCACGGCUAACUACGUGCCAGCAGCCGCGGUAAUACGUAGGUGGCAAGCGUUAUCCGGAAUUAUUGGGCGUAAAGCGCGCGUAGGCGGUUUUUUAAGUCUGAUGUGAAAGCCCACGGCUCAACCGUGGAGGGUCAUUGGAAACUGGAAAACUUGAGGGCAGAAGAGGAAAGUGGAAUUCCAUGUGUAGCGGUGAAAUGCGCAGAGAUAUGGAGGAACACCAGUGGCGAAGGCGACUUUCUGGUCUGUAACUGACGCUGAUGUGCGAAAGCGUGGGGAUCAAACAGG
rnacentral:rRNA from 1 species